AGUGAACGCUGGCGGUAGGCCUAACACAUGCAAGUCGAACGGCAGCACAGUAAGAGCUUGCUCUUACGGGUGGCGAGUGGCGGACGGGUGAGGAAUACAUCGGAAUCUACUUUUUCGUGGGGGAUAACGUAGGGAAACUUACGCUAAUACCGCAUACGACCUACGGGUGAAAGCAGGGGAUCUUCGGACCUUGCGCGAUUGAAUGAGCCGAUGUCGGAUUAGCUAGUUGGCGGGGUAAAGGCCCACCAAGGCGAUGAUCCGUAGCUGGUCUGAGAGGAUGAUCAGCCACACUGUAACUGAGACACGGUCCAGACUCCUACGGGAGGCAGCAGUGGGGAAUAUUGGACAAUGGGCGCAAGCCUGAUCCAGCCAUACCGCGUGGGUGAAGAAGGCCUUCGGGUUGUAAAGCCCUUUUGUUGGGAAAGAAAAGCAGCAGGUUAAUACCCCGCUGUUCUGACGGUACCCAAAGAAUAAGCACCGGCUAACUUCGUG
rnacentral:rRNA from 1 species